rnacentral:rRNA from 1 species
UACGUAGGGGGCAAGCGUUGUCCGGAUUUAUUGGGCGUAAAGAGCUCGUAGGCGGUUCGGUAAGUCGGGUGUGAAACCUCCAGGCUCAACCUGGAGACGCCACCCGAUACUGCUGUGACUAGAGUCCGGUAGGGGAGCGUGGAAUUCCUGGUGUAGCGGUGAAAUGCGCAGAUAUCAGGAGGAACACCGAUGGCGAAGGCAGGUCUCUGGGCAUUAACUGACGCUGAGGAGCGAAAGCAUGGGGAGCGAACAGG